UAGAGGGAGAGACAAGAGAGAGAGAGACACACACAGGGAUAAAUUGAGGUUGAAUAGAUUUUGAACCCGCCCACCAUGCAUACAGAGCCACCCAGCAAGCAUAUUGUCACAAUGGCAAUUCCAGUGCUACCCCCAUUUUCGAAGCUGGCUUCGACUAU
rnacentral:miRNA from 1 species